rnacentral:lncRNA from 1 species
UUUGAGAGAGUAUGAGUGUUUAUGAGAGGAGGAAAGGGUGAGGAAGAUGAAAUCGUGGGUGCUGGGUAGGUUUAGGGGCGUCCGGUUCGGUUUAGGUAGAUUGGGGAUUGGUUCAUUUUAACCAAACUGGGUUUAAAUGAAGAAAACUUACCUGACCGGCUCGGGAGCGACUUGAGUGUGUCGCUGCGAGAGGUCGCUCCCGGGUUGUUUUUUCGCGUCGUGAUUCGACGAAAACGCGAGCGACCUGGCUGUGUCACUCCGAAGACGUCGCUC